AACUAACCAGGAUUCCCNCNGUAGCGGCGAGCGAAGAGGGANGAGCCCAGCGCCGAAUCCCCGCCCGCCCAGCCGGGCGCGGGAAAUGUGGCGUACGGAAGAUCGUUUUCCCGGUGUCGGCGUGGGGGCCUGAGUCCUUCUGAUCGAGGCUCACCCCGCGGACGGUGUGAGGCCGGUAACGGCCCUCGUCGCGCCGGGGCGCGGUCUUCCCGGAGUCGGGUUGCUUGGGAAUGCAGCCCAAAGCGGGUGGUAAACUCCAUCUAAGGCUAAAUACCGGCACGAGACCGAUAGUCGACAAGUACCG
rnacentral:rRNA from 1 species